CAUAAACGACUCUCGGCAACGGAUAUCUCGGCUCACGCAUCGAUGAAGAACGUAGCAAAAUGCGAUACUUGGUGUGAAUUGCAGAAUCCCGUGAACCAUCGAGUUUUUGAACGCAAGUUGCGCCCGAAGCCAUUCGGCCGAGGGCACGUCUGCCUGGGCGUC
rnacentral:rRNA from 17 species